rnacentral:rRNA from 1 species
GACGAACGCUGGCUUCGUGCUUAACACAUGCAAGUCGAACGAUGAAGCCUAGCUUGCUAGGUGGAUUAGUGGCGAACGGGUGAGUAAUACGUGAGUAACCUACCUUUAACUCUGGGAUAAGCCUGGGAAACUGGGUCUAAUACCGGAUACGACCAAUCUCCGCAUGGGGUGUUGGUGGAAAGCGUUAUGUAGUGGUUAUAGAUGGGCUCACGGCCUAUCAGCUUGUUGGUGAGGUAACGGCUCACCAAGGCGACGACAGGUAGCCGGCCUGAGAGGGUGACCGGCCACACUGGGACUGAGACACGGCCCAGACUCCUACGGGAGGCAGCAGUGGGGAAUAUUGCUCAAUGGGCGCAAGCCUGAUGCACCGACUCCGCGAGAGGGAUGACGGCCUUCGGGUUGUAAACCUCUGUGUACAGGGCAGAAGAGAGAUUGACGGUUCCUGCAGAGAAAGCGCCGGCUAACUACUUGCCCGCAGCCGCAGUUAAUACGUAUGGCGCGAGCGUUGUCCUGAAUUAUUGGGCCUCAAGAGCUUGUGGCGGUUUGUCGCGUCUGCUGUGAAGGCCGGAGCUUAACUCCGUGUAUUGCAGUGGGUACGGGCAGACUAGAGUGCAGUAGGGGAGACUGGAAUUCCUGGUGUAGCGGUGGAAUGCGCAGAUAUCAGGAGGAACACCGAUGGCGAAGGCAGGUCUCUGGGCUGUAACUGACGCUGAGAAGCGAAAGCAUGGGGAGCGAACAGGAUUAGAUACCCUGGUAGUCCAUGCCGUAAACGUUGGGCACUAGGUGUGGGGAACAUUCCACGUUUUCCGCGCCGUAGCUAACGCAUUAAGUGCCCCGCCUGGGGAGUACGGCCGCAAGGCUAAAACUCAAAGAAAUUGACGGGGGCCCGCACAAGCGGCGGAGCAUGCGGAUUAAUUCGAUGCAACGCGAAGAACCUUACCAAGGCUUGACAUAUACUGGACCGCAUCAGAGAUGGUGUUUCCCUUCGGGGCUGGUAUACAGGUGGUGCAUGGUUGUCGUCAGCUCGUGUCGUGAGAUGUUGGGUUAUGUCCCGCAACGAGCGCAACCCUCGUUCUAUGUUGCCAGCACGUUAUGGUGGGGACUCAUAGGAGACUGCCGGGGUCAACUCGGAGGAAGGUGGGGAUGACGUCAAAUCAUCAUGCCCCUUAUGUCUUGGGCUUCACGCAUGCUACAAUGGCCGGUACAGAGGGUUGCGAUACUGUGAGGUGGAGCUAAUCCCUAAAAGCCGGUCUCAGUUCGGAUUGGGGUCUGCAACUCGACCCCAUGAAGUCGGAGUCGCUAGUAAUCGCAGAUCAGCAACGCUGCGGUGAAUACGUUCCCGGGCCU